rnacentral:rRNA from 1 species
GACGAACGCUGGCGGCGUGCCUAAUACAUGCAAGUUGAGCGCUGAAGGUUGGUACUUGUACCGACUGGAUGAGCAGCGAACGGGUGAGUAACGCGUGGGGAAUCUGCCUUUGAGCGGGGGACAACAUUUGGAAACGAAUGCUAAUACCGCAUAAAAACUUUAAACACAAGUUUUAAGUUUGAAAGAUGCAAUUGCAUCACUCAAAGAUGAUCCCGCGUUGUAUUAGCUAGUUGGUGAGGUAAAGGCUCACCAAGGCGAUGAUACAUAGCCGACCUGAGAGGGUGAUCGGCCACAGUGGGACUGAGACACGGCCCAAACUCCUACGGGAGGCAGCAGUAGGGAAUCUUCGGCAAUGGACGAAAGUCUGACCGAGCAACGCCGCGUGAGUGAAGAAGGGUUUCGGAUCGUAAAACUCUGUUGGUAGAGAAGAACGUUGGUGAGAGUGGAAAGCUCAUCAAGUGACGGUAACUACCCAGAAAGGGACGGCUAGCUACGUG